UACGUAGGGGCAAGCGUUAUCCGGAUUUACUGGGUGUAAAGGGAGCGCAGACGGAACUGCAAGUCUGAUGUGAAAGCCCGGGGCUCAACCGCGGGACUGCAUUGGAAACUGUAGAUCUGGAGUGCCGGAGGGGCAAGCGGAAUUCCUGGUGUAGCGGUGAAAUGCGUAGAUAUCAGGAGGAACACCGGCGGCGAAGGCGGCUUGCUGGACGGCAACUGACGUUGAGGCUCGAAAGCGUGGGGAGCAAACAGGAUUAGAUACCCCUGUAGU
rnacentral:rRNA from 1 species